rnacentral:misc_RNA from 1 species
UGGUGAACCAGCGGAGGGAUCAUUACCGAGUUUACAACUCCCAAACCCCUGUGAACAUACCACUUGUUGCCUCGGCGGAUCAGCCCGCUCCCGGUAAAACGGGACGGCCCGCCAGAGGACCCCUAAACUCUGUUUCUAUAUGUAACUUCUGAGUAAAACCAUAAAUAAAUCAAAACUUUCAACAACGGAUCUCUUGGUUCUGG